UUAAGUUUAGAGGGUAUCCCUACCUAAUCUGAGGUCAAGCUUUAAAAUAAAUUGUUCAGUUGGCAGACAACUACACAGUUACUUUAACGAGAAUAUUAUUUACUACGUCUUACAAGCUGAAAUUGUGUUGCCAAUAGCUUAAAGAAGAGAGGCAGAGCCACUUCUCUUAUUACCAAACCAAGUUUUGAUUGAUUUAUUGA
rnacentral:misc_RNA from 1 species